UAGGGAAUCUUCCGCAAUGGGCGAAAGCCUGACGGAUCAACGCCGCGUGAGUGAUGAAGGUCUUCGGAUCGUAAAACUCUGUUAUUAGGGAAGAACAAAUGUGUAAGUAACUAUGCACGUCUUGACGGUACCUAAUCAGAAAGCCACGGCUAACUACGUGCCAGCAGCCGCGGUAAUACGUAGGUGGCAAGCGUUAUCCGGAAUUAUUGGGCGUAAAGCGCGCGUAGGCGGUUUUUUAAGUCUGAUGUGAAAGCCCACGGCUCAACCGUGGAGGGUCAUUGGAAACUGGAAAACUUGAGUGCAGAAGAGGAAAGUGGAAUUCCAUGUGUAGCGGUGAAAUGCGCAGAGAUAUGGAGGAACACCAGUGGCGAAGGCGACUUUCUGGUCUGUAACUGACGCUGAUGUGCGAAAGCGUGGGGAUCAAACAGG
rnacentral:rRNA from 1 species